rnacentral:rRNA from 1 species
GUGCCAGCAGCCGCGGUAAUACGGAGGGGGUUAGCGUUGUUCGGAAUUACUGGGCGUAAAGCGCACGUAGGCGGAUUGGAAAGUAUGGGGUGAAAUCCCAGGGCUCAACCCUGGAACGGCCUCAUAAACUCCCAGUCUGGAGUUCGAGAGAGGUGAGUGGAAUUCCGAGUGUAGAGGUGAAAUUCGUAGAUAUUCGGAGGAACACCAGUGGCGAAGGCGGCUCACUGGCUCGAUACUGACGCUGAGGUGCGAAAGUGUGGGGAGCAAACAGGAUUAGAUACCCUGGUAGUCCACACCGUAAACGAUGAAUGCCAGUCGUCGGCAAGCAUGCUUGUCGGUGACACACCUAACGGAUUAAGCAUUCCGCCUGGGGAGUACGGUCGCAAGAUUAAAACUCAAAGGAAUUGACGG